rnacentral:tRNA from 1 species
GGGCGUAACUCAGGGGUAGAGUGCUUGCUUCCCAAGCAAGAUGUCGUGGGUUCGAAUCCCAUCGCCC